rnacentral:rRNA from 1 species
UACGGGGGGGGUAAGCGUUGUUCGGAAUUACUGGGCGUAAAGGGCUCGUAGGCGGCCAACUAAGUCGGACGUGAAAUCCCUCAGCUUAACUGGGGAACUGCGUCCGAUACUGGAUGGCUUGGAUUUGGGAGAGGGAUGCGGAAUUCCAGGUGUAGCGGUGAAAUGCGUAGAUAUCUGGGGGAACACCGGUGGCGAAGGCGGCAUCCUGGACCAACAUUGACGCUGAGGAGCGAAAGCUAGGGGAGCAAACGGG